CAUUUCCUUUAUACGCCAUUUUACGUCUGCUAAUGUUUGCGUAGGGUCUCAUUGUGCUGUUUGCUAAUCGACUGGUAAAAUUUUUAAAUCAUGGGCAGAAAAAAGAAGAAGCAGAUGAAGCCAUGGUGUUGGUACUGUAACAGGGACUUUGACGAUGAAAAGAUUCUCAUUCAGCACCAAAAAGCCAAACACUUUAAAUGUCACAUAUGUCACAAGAAGUUAUAUACUGGUCCUGGUCUGGCCAUCCACUGUAUGCAGGUUCACAAAGAAACUAUCGAUGGUGUCCCAAAUGCGAUACCUGGAAGAACAGACAUAGAAUUGGAGAUCUAUGGAAUGGAGGGUAUUCCCGAAAAAGACAUGGAUGAGAGGAGACGUGUCCUUGAACAAAAAUCACAGGAUCAGAAGAAAAAACAGAACCAAGAUGACUCAGACGACGACGAUGAUGAUGAAGAGGCUGGACCUUCCUUCCAACAGCCAGCAGCAUCAGCGCAGCCUCAGGCUGCUUACACCCCUAUGACACAGCCGGGAAUGACCCCUGUCCCAGCACCAGGAAUGCCACCUGGAAGCUACUCAGGUGUGCUGUACAACAGAAUGCCCCCAAUGAUGCCUGGUGUUCCCCCGAUGAUGCCAGGCAUGCCCCCUGUAAUGCCAGGGAUGCAUCCAGGCAUGAUGCCGAUGAGUGGAAUGAUGCCACCAACACAUGGAAUGCCACCAAUGAUGCCAGGCAUGCCACCAGGAAUACCACCUCCAAUGGGCCCUCACCCUGGCAUGCCCCACAUGGCCCAGGGCCCUCCCACCACCGCCAGGCCAGCAGUGCCUGCCGUCACAGUGCCCGCACCACAGCCGGGUGUCUCCAAACCACUGUUUCCCAGUGCGGGACAGAUGGGGACUCGAGCUCCAAGCACAAGCUCAGCCUCCUCCAGUCUGGACACUUUGUCAGCAUCCUCUAAACCGCUGUCCCAAGUUCAGCAGGCUGUUACAGGCGCAGCGACAAGCUCUUCUGCACCACCUUCUGUUGUCCCCAAACCCACAUUCCCAGCCUAUACUCAGUCCUCCUCUUCUCCUGCUAACACUAGCAGCACCGUGGCCAAACCAGGCACCCCAAUCACAAGUAAGCCGGCCGCCCUCACCACUACCAGUGCAACCAGUAAGUUGAUCCACCCUGAUGAAGAUGUGUCACUGGAGGAAUUGCGUGCCCAGCUGCCUCGCUACCAGUGUAAGAUCCCUAGCACGGGACAGGCUCAUGUGUCUUCCCCACCAGUCGCAGCAAUGGGAAGCGUGUUGACACCUCAGCAGGGCAUUCCUGCGCAACAGCCAGGUGUUAGGCAUCCCAUGCAAGGGCCAUAUGGGGCUCCGCCCCAAGGUGUAUCUGGAUAUGUCCCCGGAGGGAUGCCUCCCUAUGGGCAAGCCCCGCCCAUGGUACCUCCUUACCAGGCCGCUCCCCCUCGGCCCGCCUUAGGCAUGAGACCUCCCGUAAUGUCUCCUGGGGGCCGAUAUUGAAGCGUCAGCACUGGUCUACAUUAGGUUUGGUGAUUCAACCAUUUUACCAUCUAGUGGCGUGCUUUUCAAUCCAGAUCAGUUGCUAAAACCGUAACAGUUCUUGUGCAGUGAGAGGAGAUGGAUAAACUCUGUAACGCAUGGGACUUUGAUUUUACUCAGUUUUUUAUUUAGACACCUACCCUUGGUUGCAGAUCAUACAGCUUUGGCUUUUUUCUCAUGUUUUGUUUAGGUUUUUAGAAGUGUAGUAAAUAUGGUUCGUAUUAAUUUGAAGCGGCUGGAGUUUCGUACAGCACCUUUAUCAAGCAAUGCCAUGGGAUUUGCUGAGGCAGAGUCUCAGUGUUGCCCUGCACAGGCUGAGGCAAGUCUCACAUUUUCUCUAUCUAUAUUUUCUGUACUCGAGGGGCCUCACAGCCAUGUGGCUGUUGGAUACAAGUGUCCCCAAACUUUAGGCAGGUUUGGUGAUGCCCCCCGAUUUUGUUAAAUUUAGGCGAUUUCGCCUAACUAACUCUAAUAAGUAGUUUUACCUAACAUGUUAGAUAUACACCACGGGGUUAUUUUCAACUUGAUGUAAAUAUCAUGCUAUCGAUUACCACAUUAUCCAGUCAUGCAGGCAACACUGUAACUGCUUCAAAAAUAUAUUUCACGUUUCCUUAUGACACUGGUGUGUGGUGCAGCUGCUUACUGAUCUAAGCAAUGUAACAUUAGAUGUGUUUUGUAUACUCCCCCGUAAAAUUUUACUUGCACUUAACCGCAACUAAUGAAAAAUCCCACAAACAUAAACCAAAUUGGACACCUCCAGGUCAAUCUGAAGUAACAAAAAGUCCUUAUGAACAUUGUUCUUGUCCAAUUCUACAGGUUGCUUUGCUGCCAGGCUUCACUUGUAAUGUAGGUGCAUUGUUUCUCUUUCAUUUUUACAAACUGCAAGUAAGUUAAAGUGUAGUUUGUGGUAAUCGACAGCAUGUCUCAGAUGCUGUCCACAGGCAUGAGCAAGUUAAAAAUAACUGCAGUAUUGUUUAACUUGUUCCUAUGCUGCUUUUUAAACAGCAUACUAAAGUUUCCUGUUAAAGACCAUUAGGAGUAAUGUGUGAUGAUUUCAUUGAUUGUUUAACUUUUAUUUUACAAAUUCUUCUGCUUAUUGGAAGAUACAGCUCAAAUUUCCCUUCAAUGAUAAGUUUUGCAGAGCUUGGCGGACUGUAUUUUCUUUGUGUUGAUCUGAAAGACCCUCAUCCACAGUUCGUAUGAAGCCAGAGAGAGGUUUAUUUCAGAUUAGGAUAAGCAUUUCCUUAAACAUCGCCUGUUUGUUGCUAUUAUGUGCUCUGUCCCAUCUGUUUCUUUUGUCUGUCUAGCUUUUACUGUUCUUAACCUUGGAUUCUUAUAAGGUUUUCAGGACUCUGUGUACAGGUUAGUUUAUGUUGAGAUUAAAUAUGUAUUCACCCACUGUUUGUAUGUGGUGAUUUGGUUAAAAAAGGUAUGUGAUUUUUCUUCUAGCUUUGUGUCAGCUGAUUUUCUGACUGGUCUUCUUUCAGGUUUUUCUGAUUAUUUUUUGUCGUUCCUUGAGUCGCCUUUUAAGAGGAAAACGAUACAAAUGUAAGCAAUUUAAUACUUCUUUAUUUGCCAGUAGAGUGCAGCACAGACAAAGUCAAUAAAAGUUUUACUCCGUACAAAAUUGUCGUCUGUUCCUUUACAUCAUAUUUUUUUUCCUCCUUAUUGUGGCUGCUACAGAGUAUGUCUGUAAAUGCAAAGACUUUUUUUCUAGAAAUUAAUAUGAAUGAUGUUACUUUUUUUUAAAUGUGUUAAUAACUACAAUAGGAACCGUAAUCUUAAUUGUAACAAGACUUCUAGGAGUAUAAAUUAUGGAGAUGUGGACUAAAAUUGUCAGUGGUAUUGUUAGUCAGUCUAUAUUUAUCUCAAACACUGCACAUUAUUACUAUUGAGAGAGAUAGGUGUGACUAUUGUGUCUCUAUGAUGAGUUUCCUGUGUUAAGGUGUUCAGUACCAAUGAGAAGUACCACAGUCGUUGUACUAGAAAUAACACCUGCGUAGAGAUCAUAAACCCGUUUAAACAUCAUGAGAGCCUUAAUGUGUCUUGGGAUUUUAUUGGAACAGAUUUUUGCAUCUCAAGACUUUCAGUACAUUCAAAAGCUUGAGGGGGAAUCAGUGGAUAUCAUGUGUGUGGCACAACGAAGAAAAUCAAGACCAUCACGUUUUUACCUACGAAGGUUUUCUCAUUCAGAAGAAGUAUUUAACAUCACUGAAGAUAGAGACAUAGAGCCAGAGACUGAGAGACGUCGCGUCAAGAUCACUGGACAUCAGAUUGACUCACACACAGUAAAUGUGAGCCUCUUGAAUUUAAGAUACACAGACACGGGCCUUUACGUCUGUGAGUUCCUCCCAGAAAAUCAACAUGAACAGCCAUUGGAUAACGUGAAUGUCUUUCUUCUUGUAAAACCAGGAGGUGAUCUGUGCUCCUGUGAGACGUAUUCACUGUUAAUCUACAUCAUCUCACUAGCAGUGUGUUUGCUUCUGCUGUCAAUCAUCGCAUCAUCUGCAGUGUAUUACAAAAACUUGAAUGCAGAACAAAAACUUCAAUGUACAAAUCCAGUUUACGAAGACAUGUCAGCAAAAGGUAUGCGAGCAAACUUCCAUCAGGUCCCUCUUCAGGUCUACAGGUGAAGCAGCAGCAGCCUCCGUCUGGGUCAAUAUGAAGAAUAUACUGGAGAAUCAUAAUGCAUCCCUGAAGACUGUUGUUAUUGUUGUUAUUUGUUAAUCAAGUUGAAAAAGAUAAACCCCAAAGAUCUGGCAUAUCAGUUUAAUUGUCUAUUUAAUAUUGAGUUAUACAAUAUCUCAGCUAUUCAGUAUCAAAAUAUCUAUGGUAUACACCAGACAAAAAAAGCACAAAGCUGUCACUCGGACAGUACCUAAAGGAUGCAUAUUAGUACCUCACACAUGUAGAUAACUCACAGGUACAUAGGACCUUUUAAAGGGUAUCAUCCUAGUGACAGCUUUUGUACCUUAAUUCUAACAAUGUAGGUAAUUGUUGUGCUCCUACUCAUUGUAGUAUUUACACACUAUCAUGUAAAGAUGGAUAUAACAUAGGCACUGUAAAUGCUUUUAUAAACUUAAAACGGCUGUAAUUUGUAACCAUCUUGUUUUCUCAAUUAUCAACUUUACAAAUUAAAAGCUUUUCAUGAACUUACAUUGGAGUUUUGUAAAACAAGUCAGAUCAAAAACAGAGAUGUUUAACUCAAGAUGUCUUCAAACAAGCCAUGAGAGAAAACAUAACCAGUAUCCAUUACAUACAGAUUAAUAUUUUAAAGUUUUAUUUUGUCAUCUUUUCACUGACAUUUGGAUACUAAAACUGAAUAAAUGCAACACAUAAAAAUAACCAGUUAGGUUGAAAACCUUAAAGUUUAUAGAUAUUUUUUUCAGGUAAAGCCCAUAUUUCUCCAGUAUG